AAGGCGGCAGAAAUGUGCACGGUAACCUCUUCUCUAAGGAGGGUGGCUCGCCUCCUCCUUCCCUCCCUUCCUUUCCUUCUUUUCUCUGUGGCUGUUGUGUUGUUUCCCAUUUCUGUCAGUAUUUGUUCCCAAGUGUGUGGCCAUAGGAAAAGCUGGAUUUGCCUAGUCCAGGGGCAGCAGGAGGCCGACUUGUGGCAUGUGUGACUGCUUCAGACGCACAUUUUUCUUGUGAGAAAGGAAAGGGUGAAGGGAGCCCCCGUGGUGACAUUUCUUGGCAGGCAGAGUGGAGCGCACCUUUUUGCUUCUUCCAGGCCCUCCAGCAUCCUGUUGAUAGUGACAGUAACCUCUUUUCCCAUUUGGCAGAGGAGGAGACUGAUAGAGAGAGGCCCAACUCCUCUUUCCGACCGCCGCAGAAAGACAACCCCCCAAGCCUGGUGGCCAAGGCCCAGUCCUUGCCCUCGGACCAGCCGGUGGGGACCUUCAGCCCUCUGACCACUUCGGAUACCAGCAGCCCCCA
rnacentral:lncRNA from 1 species